GGGGAAUUUUCCGCAAUGGGCGAAAGCCUGACGGAGCAAUACCGCGUGAGGGAAGACUGCCUAUGGGUUGUAACCCUCUUUUUUCAGGGAGGAAUAAAUGACGUGUACCUGAAGAAUAAGCAUCGGCUAACUC
rnacentral:rRNA from 1 species